CAGACGUGGAUGGACGAAGAGGUUGAGG
rnacentral:sRNA from 1 species